rnacentral:rRNA from 1 species
AGUCGAACGCUGAAGCACUCUGCUUGCAGAGUGUGGAUGAGUGGCGAACGGGUGAGUAACACGUGGAGAACCUGCCCAUAAGAGGGGGAUAACAUCCGGAAACGGGUGCUAAUACCGCAUAGGUAUCCGACACGCAUGUGUCGGCUAUGAAAGACGGCUUCGGCUGUCGCUUAUGGAUGGCUCCGCGGCGUAUUAGCUAGUUGGUGAGGUAAUGGCUCACCAAGGCAGUGAUACGUAGCCGACCUGAGAGGGUGAUCGGCCACACUGGGACUGAGACACGGCCCAGACUCCUACGGGAGGCAGCAGUAGGGAAUCUUCCACAAUGGGCGCAAGCCUGAUGGAGCAAUGCCGCGUGAAUGAAGAAGGUCUUCGGAUCGUAAAGUUCUGUUAUCGGAGAAGAACACGUCGAGUAGUAACUGGCUCGACCUUGACGGUAUCCGACCAGAAAGUCACGGCUAACUACGUGCCAGCAGCCGCGGUAAUACGUAGGUGACAAGCGUUGUCCGGAUUUAUUGGGCGUAAAGCGAGCGCAGGCGGUCUUUUAAGUCUGAUGUGAAAGCCCACGGCUCAACCGUGGAUGGUCAUUGGAAACUGGAGGACUUGAAUGCAGAAGAGGUAAGUGGAAUUCCAUGUGUAGCGGUGAAAUGCGUAGAUAUAUGGAGGAACACCAGUGGCGAAGGCGACUUACUGGUCUGUUAUUGACGCUGAGGCUCGAAAGCGUGGGGAGCGAACAGGAUUAGAUACCCUGGUAGUCCACGCCGUAAACGAUG